rnacentral:rRNA from 1 species
GACGAACGCUGGCGGCGUGCCUAACACAUGCAAGUCGAGCGGGGUUGAGGCGAGAGGUAACUCGAACUUCUACCUAGCGGCGGACGGGUGAGUAACGCGUGGGCAACCUGCCUCAAGGUUUGGGAUAACAGCCCGAAAGGGCUGCUAAUACCGGAUAUGCCUAUGGCCUCGCAUGGGGCUAUGAGCAAAGGGGAAACCCGCCUUGAGAUGGGCCCGCGUCCCAUCAGCUAGUUGGUGAGGUAACAGCUCACCAAGGCGACGACGGGUAGCCGGCCUGAGAGGGUGACCGGCCACACUGGGACUGAGACACGGCCCAGACUCCUACGGGGGGCAGCAGUGGGGGAUCUUGCACAAUGGGCGAAAGCCUGAUGCAGCGACGCCGCGUGAGCGAAGAAGGCCUCGGUUGUAAAGCUCUGUCUGGAGGGACGGAACAAAAUAGACGGUAACCUCCGGACGGAAGGACCACGGCGUAACUACGUUGCCAGCAGCCGCGGUAAACGUAAGCGUG